rnacentral:rRNA from 1 species
UGCAUAUCAAUAAGCGGAGGAAAAGAAACUAACAAGGAUUCCCCUAGUAACGGCGAGUGAAGAGGGAAGAGCUCAAAUUUUAAAUCUAUUACGUUGUACGUGAUCGAAUUGUAAUUUGAAGAAGCGUUUUCUCGUUCCACGAUCAGUAGAAGUUCUCUUGGAACAGGACAUCAUAGAGGGUGAUAAUCCCGUGUGUUAUUGAUCGUGAGUUCGUCAUACGAUACGCUUUCAAAGAGUCGAGUUGUUUGGGAUUGCAGCUCUAAUUGGGUGGUAAACAUCACCUAAGGCUAAAUAUUUGCGAGAGACCGAUAGCGAACAAGUACCGUGAGGGAAAGAUGAAAAGAACUUUGAAAAGAGAGUUAAAAAGUAUGUGAAAUUGUUGAAAGGGAAACGAUUGAAGUCAGUCGUGCAGUCAUCAAUUCAACGCCAAGAUAGCAGAAGUGACGCGGGUGGCGAGUGUCAAAACCGCCAUCCCGUUACUUCACCUAUCUUGGCGCGUACUUUGUUGUCUGCUGGUUAGCAUCAAUUUUGAUUGUCAUAAAAAGGUUGAGGGGAUGUGGCUCCUUCGGGAGUGUUAUAACCCUUAACGGAAUGUGGCGAUUGGGAUUGAGGUUUGCAACGGAUACCUUUCCGUCUGGUCUCUUGUUGACGUUCAGAUAGCAACAGCUUGCUUUUGUUGUUUGAAUAGUUCGCAAAUAGAUUGGAAUGUGAAUAAUUCGUUAAGGAUGUUGACGUA